GACGAACGCUGGCGGCGUGCUUAACACAUGCAAGUCGAGCGGUAAGGCCCUUUCGGGGGUACGACGAGCGGCGAACGGGUGAGUAACACGUGGGUGGACCUGCCCGUCCAGCUCUGGGAUAAGCCUGGGAAACCGGGUCUAAUACCGGAUAUGACUCCAUGACGCAUGUUGUGGGGUGGAAAGCCUUGUGCGGCUGAGGAUGGGCCCGCGGCCUAUCAGCUUGUUGGUGGGGU
rnacentral:rRNA from 1 species